rnacentral:lncRNA from 1 species
CGAAGACCAAUGCAACCCUAGUGGGCUCCGUUUCGGAUUUCAAAUUCGUCUGUGAUUACAGCUUGAUGCGGAAUCCUUCUCCUGGAUUUUUCACCGAAAAGGAGUGUAUUAUCGACACCGGAGUGAAGAACGGUCGAUUGUUGAAAGACAAUAAGUGCAAGGAAAGUGUAGCGAAGUGAUGGGAUGGCGGAGUUCGACCUGGACCACGGCGUCUUCGAAUGUGAAAGUGCCGUCAAGACUAAAUUAUAACAAAAAAAACGAUCUAAUUUCCCUUUGAUUUGAGAGCUUCCUCCCUCCUCUUUCUCUUAUGACCCGCAAAUCGCACCCUAAUAAGGGGCAUCCUCCACUAUGAUGGCCUGUGGAAACUAAAGAAGGGAGGAAACGUCAAAGGCCGCGCGUCAUCGCACAUCUGAAGUAGGAAAAGCAUCGAUUGAAGAUGCGAUCCGUCGUGGAUCUUCCCUCUCGAUCGCGGCACUCGGGAGUUUCACGGCUCUACGCAUGCGGUUGAACCGUUAUUUUUUUAAUGUCUCUUUCCAAUUUAGCUUACGUGUUGAUUCAUUCGAUAGGUGCACGCGAAGGCACUUGAACAAAUUAAAUUAAUAGAAAAAAAUAAACCCGGCAGCCAUUCUAAGUGUUCCUGCAAUUUACUAAAAUCAUCGUAACCUUACAAUAACUCGCAAGUAAUCUCAACAAUAAAACAUAAAAACAAUUUGUCACAUUUCCGCGAUUGGAUGUAAGAGUAAAUUAGGGAAAAUCGUUACUUCACUAAAAAUAUUUUAUUUACCGAUGAAGAUCUUUCUACCCAAGAAGGGACUUUUAAUUAUCACAAUAGACACCGUUGAAUUGAAUCAUGAAGCGUAUUAUCAAAACCGAUGAAAUUUAAAAGCUUGGGCAGGAGUUAUUUGAGACCAACAUACUUCUCCCAAAUCGGUUGACAGGUGAAGGGUAUAUAUUUUUUUGCGGUAUGUCCCGCCAGAUUUAUUGCAAAAUGUGCCACUUAACAGAAGGAGCAAGAUGUGGUAUCACUAGGAUGGGAUGCUUCCACUUAAUUUCAGAGACAUCACAUCCUUUCUUAACGAAAAAUAUCGUUAAUGACGAAAAGGAUGUUAUGGGCUGCUACAAUGUCCUGCAAAAUCGCUCGAUUUAAAUCCACUGGAACACUUUCUGUGAGGCUAUUUGAAACAAAAAAUUCUCCUAUUGUUUAACAACCUCCAGGUAGUUACUUCCAACAUUUUCAUAAAAAAAUCGAAGAAAAACAUUUGAAAUACAACGUCGCUUAAUUUUUAUUCAUCAGUUUCCGUAAUAUGUAUCAUUUUUGUGAUUGAAAGUAAAUUUCCUUGUUAUUUUGCGAAGUUCGGUUUUUUCUUAAUUUUUCUGGUUUACAUUUCCAGGCACGUAACUGCCACUAAUUGGAUUAUUAGGAUUAGGAUGAAAUGAUGUUAUGAAAAUUAGUGCAUUGUGUACGUUAAAAUUCGAGUUAAACAUCAACAUUUUGGAAGAGGAAAACACCAUUUUUGCAUUUGGAAAGCGAUCGCUUCUACACAGCUAACACAGCAAGCAAACUUUAGUAUUUUAGAGUGAAGUGUUAACUGUGAUUCGAAGUUUUUUUGUAAUGCUCUAGCUAUGGUAGUUUUCGAGUUAUAAUGAUUUUAGUAGAAACUAAAAUUCCUGUGGCAUCUAAAGGGUUAAAAAAUCGAAAAAAUACUGAAUAUUUUGGUUAGAAUUGUAGGUUUAAUCGCCUGACAUAUAGUUUGUCCAGCCAUUUUGAAAACCCCUGUAUACAUGAAAAAUAUAAAUGUGAACUGUCAAAGUCUUUUCGAAUAUGCCGACCUUACGUGUUUUUGCGACCUUAAACCUUCUGACUGCCUUUUAUCUUCCACCAAGCCUUCUGACCAUAUUUGAGCUGUAUUUGUGUGACUUUCCUGGAUAUCUACGGAAAAAUUCAGCCGUGCAAGAGUCGGUUUGUUUCUCAUGGAAAUUUGGCAGAUUUGGAAGCUUGCCCACGCUGUUGCUUAGCCGACAACAAUCCAACCAUGUGCAGGUCACAUUUUUUGUGCAACGAGUCAUGCAAACUUUCAUGUAGUCGGCUCUUAGACGGUUAACAAUUUCAGAAACUGCGGCAUAGUAGGCGUCGUUACGAAGAAAAAUUUACUUUUUUGUUGUCUUGUUCAGGCAAGCAGAAGUUGCCACAAAUAAUAAUGGGCUUAGGUUCUAAGCCCCCCGCCAGUUGGGACCCAGUCCUUAACGGAC